rnacentral:rRNA from 1 species
CCUACGGGAGGCUGCAGUCAAGAAUAUUCCCCAAUGGGCGAAAGCCUGAGGGAGCGACGCCGCGUGAUGGAAGAAGCCCUUCGGGGUGUAAACAUCUUUUCUCAGGGAAAAACUCAUGAUGGUACCUGAGGAAUAAGAGGUUGCUAACUCUGUGCCAGCAGCAGCGGUAAUACAGAGACCUCAAGCGUUAUCCGGAUUUAUUGGGCGUAAAGCGUCUGUAGGUGGUUUGGCAAGUUGUGGGUCAAAGCUCCCGACUCAAUCGGGAAAAGGCCUACAAUACUGCUGAGCUGGAGGCCGGGAGAGGCAGAUGGAAUUGCCGGUGUAACGGUAAAAUGUGUUAAUAUCGGCAGGAACACCAAAUGCGAAGGCAUUCUGCUGGAACGCGCCUGACACUCAGAGACGAAAGCGUGGGGAGCGAAUAGGAUUAGAUACCCGGGUAG